CCGCGCGGGGAGCCGCUCAAAGCCCCUCGGUGCACAUGUGAAAUUUCCAGAUCCAGGCGGCGGCCAGAAGACAGCAAGAAUCCGAGGGAUUGGAGGCAGAAGGAAGACAAACCCGGGAAGGAUGCUUUGCAUACAAGUUACAUAGCGAUCAGUGCAUUUUUUUUCCUUCAGUUUCGGAAGUAAAGUGUUGUUUUAAAAGAGAUGAUGCAUUAUCUAUUCUUGGAUUUUUUAUAAGGCAAACUGUGGGCCUCGCUGUUGCCAUGGGAUCUUCUUUGUGCCAACUCUCCGAACUGUGUGGGAACAGUUUUAUUUCCUUCCCUUCAGGUUUCUUUCUUUUUUUUCUCCUCCCCCCCUUUUUUUCCCCCUCUUCUUUUUAUCCCCCCUAUUUUGAAGAUCUGUAACAAAAUGUAACUGCAUUAUUGCCAAUUAAGACUAACAGCAGCUGCAAGGUGCAGCUAAUUAGAAAUGUUAAUUACUUCACAAAAUAAAUAGUCAUUUGCAGAUGCUUAUAGUGUUAAACAAAUUCUCUGUAAAAUCGAACUGGGUAAAAUUCUGACCCCCCCUCGAUGCACACAUGCAGAGCACAUGCCAAUUCAUUCACCCAUUAGAGAGAUACAUAAAGACAGAGUUAAAAACAAAGUGAUGCCUGGUAUUUAGUAGGUGGGUGAGGGAGUGUGUGGAGGAGGAGUAAAAAAAAGGCAGAGGAAUUCCAUUACUUUCUUAAAGAAAUUGAGGCUGAGCACACACAGACACACAUAAUAUGCAUGUCUCAACAUAACCUCAUGUUGCUUAUACAUCCAAGCAUGCUUAUGCAUUAUUUAAUGAAUGUUAUAGAGAUAUAGAUAUAAAGCUUUAUAUCUGUGUAAGCAAAGCUCCUUAAAUAAUAUAUAAGCCUACAUGGAUGCAUAAGCAACACAAGAUUAUGAUGGGAUGUGGAUAUUCCAGGUUCUUUGUGGUAAAGUGUGUAGAAGAGCAUUGGAAAUGAUUAAUUCCCUCGCCAUCAAUUUUCCUGAGCAGAUGAGCAUGCACAGAAGUAUUGGAGUUUAUUAAGUAUUAUGAUAAAAGGUUAAUGACGGGCAGUAUGGGAAUUGUAGGCUGCAAGAAUCAUGGGAGUUGUGGUAAAGUUAGCUUGAGCUUAAUCUUCUGGUGCAGAAUGUCACACGUUCUAAUGAAUUUGAAAAAAAAAAGGCAAUCUUGAAGUGACUGGAAUGCAACAACUAGUAGUUAAAAGUCAUUCUGAGGGGCUGGAAAUCAAUAAUCCUAGUUAACUAGGUGAUUAGAUACUACUGUGAUGGCUGAUCAUUUUUAUAGAUAGGUAAGAUGGACAUGAAAGAAAAGUCAUUACCAAAGAGAAUCAAGCUGAAAAGCAACAUUUAGCAGACAUCUUAAGUCUGAUCAAUGAGUCACAAUGUACAACUGGAAUGCUGAAAGCUCUAGAAUCCCUUGUAGCAAAGCGGAGGAAGUAUUGGAAAGAAAAUCAGUCCCCUGGUUAAAGCUUUGGACAAGUACUCAAGACAUCUUGGUUCAGCUCCUGGAUCUGAUACAGAUUUCUUGUGACAAUGCAAAUCACUGAAUCACUCUGUUUUCAUCCCUCUUCUGUAUAAUGCGGGAUAACAUUUUUUUCUAACUCAUGUGGGAGCAAUUGAGGAUAAAAAUUCAUUAAUGUCUGUGAGGCGUUCAGAUACCAUAGUGACGGGAGAUGCAUAACAGCCUAGACAGAUAUCAGUUGGCUGAAAGACUGUCUAGAGGAAGGAAAAAGAAGAAAAUGUUGUGGAAUGCAGAGUGUAGAGCAAAACAUAUAGUAUCUGAUAUAUUUAUUAUAGUGGCUACAGUUAGACAGAGAAAAGCAGUACUAGACUUGAAACUAUAGAGUUUGAGGGUAGGCAGAUACAUAAAAUACUCCAUGUCUAAAUGUAGGUUAUUUUUUUCCCUUAUUUACAACUAAUACUGUGUAGGUGUAUAUAUGUGCUAACCUUCCUAAGCACCAUGCUGAGUCCUCACUUAAUCUUGUCCUCCGUUUGAGAGAUCCAGCAUUUGACAGAGGGUAAGCAAGGAUGUGCAGAAUGUGUAUUAACAUCUUCAGUGUAAUAUAUACCAAAUCUAUAAAAUACCAAAAACAGUAUGGUUAGGAGGAUGAGGGAAAGACCCUGAUGGGCUCUUGAUGAGGAGGAACCCGUGUACAUUUUGAUAUAUUACAUACAGUGGAGCUUUCAGGUGGUAUUUGCAUCUCUUCUGUAUGGAAAACAAAGAACUUCAGUCAUCUCCAUGGUGCUGUCAUACUGUGAGGAUAUUCUUCUAGGUUGACACCCUGCUUUAGAGAACCAGGGUUUCCAAAAGGAGCAAAAUUAGAGGUGUAACAAGCAGGUUUGUGCCCCCCUGUGGGCUGGGGCGAACGUAAGCGUGAUUCUGAGAGAGGAGUGCAGGAAUCUAACCUAUGCUUUGGGAAGUCCAAAACAGUCCCUGCCAGCUGCUGCUGCUACCACCAUCAAUGUAUUCUCUACUGCCCUGGCUUUACUCUUGAAGCUGCAGAAGCAGGGUAUCCUGCACCAUGUGCAGCAACUUCAAGAGCAAUGCCACAGGCGUGCAGGCUUCACAGGAUGAUUCCUGAAGUCAGUGGGAGUCAUUUAAUUGAUUGCUGUGGAUCAUAGAUCAUAAUCAUUAUUUUUUAGCUGCCAAUCUUCCCUUCUUAACUUGGUACCCAGAGCUGGUAUCCCUUUUGCCCAACCCUACUUAUACUACUGAGCAAAACAUCUUGUUCUAAGUAUUGCUUUCAAUGCUGUUAAAUUUGAUCAAUAUUGGAUUAAUUAAUAAUGUAGCAUAUACUAUUCUAUGAUGUGUAUAUACUUCGAGGCAAUGUGUCCUUUGAAAUCAGGCGGAGGUCCUACGUACUUCUCAACAGAUCUCUUAGUAAAAAUGUAUUGUGGAAAGGGACUUGUGCAGUCAAUGAGAACUUUUUUUUAAUAAUUAAUAUUUAUAAUGAAAUGAAUGGAAGAGUAGGUGGCUCAGAAGAUUGCUAAAAUUAUAUAGCAUCUUUCACUUUUAGAUGGUUUAUUCAAAUACAGUUCAAUAUUAUAGCAACCAAA